GAUGAAGAACGUAGCAAAAUGCGAUAAGUAAUGUGAAUUGCAGAAUUCAGUGAAUCAUCGAAUCUUUGAACGCACAUUGCGCCCGCCAGUAUUCUGGCGGGCAUGCCUGUUCGAGCGUCAUUUCAACCCUCAAGCACAGCUUGGUGUUGGGACUCGCGUUAGUUCGCGUUCCCCAAAUUGAUUGGCGGUCACGUCGAGCUUCCAUAGCGUAGUAGUAAAACCCUCGUUACUGGUAAUCGUCGCGGCCACGCCGUUAAACCCCAACUUCUGAAUGUUGACCUCGGAUCAGGUAGGAAUACCCGCUGAACUUAAGCAUAUCAAUAAGCGGAGGA
rnacentral:misc_RNA from 1 species